rnacentral:rRNA from 1 species
AUUGAACGCUGGCGGCAGGCCUAACACAUGCAAGUCGACCGAGUGGCGGACGGGUGAGUAAUGUUUGGGAAACUGCCUGUUGGAGGGGGUUAACUACUGGAAACGGUACUUAAUACCGCAUACCAUCAGAUGUGCCCAGAUGGGAUUAGCCAGUUGGUGGGGUAACGGCUCACUAAGGGGACGAUCCCUAGCUGGUCUGUGAGGAUGACCAGCGACACUGGAACUGAGACACGGUCCAGACUCCUACGGGAGGCAGCAGUGGGGAAUAUUGCACAAUGGGCGCAAGCAGGAUGCAGCCAUGCCGCGUGUAUGAAGAAGGCCUUCGGGUUGUAAAGUACUUUCAGCGGGGAGGCGUUACCCGCAGAAGAAGCACCGGCUAACUCCGUGCCAGCAGCCGCGGUAAUUC